rnacentral:lncRNA from 1 species
CAGAGUGGACACCGAGGCCGAGGAGACGCCAAGAGCGAUGAAACAAGCUUCUGGUUCAAGAGUUUCUUCAGGUUCCACUACGGGCUGUUCUUCUACAGGUGCGCCGAUGUCCACAGUGCUACCUUCUGAUGAGCUACUGCUUUCAUUCAGUUUCUGCUGACUUAAUAUGUGAGCUGACAGAAUGCAGAGACCACGUUGUAUAUGAAGCAUCCACUUUGCCUUGUACACCAGGGCAUUCAAUAACCACUUAAUAACUACAACCCUGAUGAUGAGGUCUCGCUAUGUUGCCUAGGCUAGUCUUGAACUCCUGGCCUCAAGUGAUCCUUCUGCCUCAGCAUCGGGAGUCACUGGGAUUAAAGGCAUGAGCCACCAUGCUCAGAAUACAAACAAAGACCCAUUUUCUAGAAGAAGUAACAGGGAAGAGAGAGUAAGAAAGAGAUAAUGAUGAACAUUGUCUAAUGUUACAGCAUAAUCUAGUAAGGAACUUGACAUCAUCAGACAGUAAAUCAAGAGGUACUGACAACUGAGACUGAGUGAUGGUCCCUGCCUAGGAUUUGGAAUCUUUGCAUGAAAUAGGGACUCUAGCCACCAGCGACAAAGAAGUCAGGGAGACUGC